rnacentral:rRNA from 1 species
UACGUAGGGAGCAAGCGUUGUCCGGAAUCAUUGGGCGUAAAGCGCGCGUAGGCGGCCCCGUAAGUCCGCUGUGAAAGUCAAAGGCUCAACCUUCGAAAGCCGGUGGAAACUGUGGGGCUAGAGUCCGGAAGAGGCGAGUGGAAUUCCUGGUGUAGCGGUGGAAUGCGCAGAUAUCAGGAGGAACACCAAUAGCGAAGGCAGCUCGCUGGGACGGUACUGACGCUAAGGCGCGAAAGCGUGGGGAGCAAACAGG